UCCGCACAAGGUUUGAGUUGUGAACCCCGCUAGGCCGGGAACGGAGCAACGGUAGCGAUUUCAGCUUGUGCACUCAU
rnacentral:SRP_RNA from 1 species